rnacentral:miRNA from 1 species
AGGUGAAUCACUUGGACAUCUUGUUAAAAUGCAAACUCUGGUUCAGCAGGUGUGGAUGGAGCCUGAGAGUCUGCAUUUCUAACAAGCUGCCAGGGAAUACCUGA